GUGUCUGUUGAUUUGAGCAGGAUGGCUGAUGCAUUCAAGACAAGUGUCUCUGGUCUAGAGAAGGAACUAGAAGCCCUGAUCACAGACAACCAGAUUCAGGCACGGAUUGACUCACACAACAAAAUCCUCUACGCAAGACAUGCGGAUCAGAGGAAUGCAACUUUCCAAAAGGUACUUCAGAUGGGAGACGAAUUCGAUAGAGAUGUCAGGGGGAUGCUGAUAAGAGCCAACCUCCUGAAA